AGGACGAACGCUGGCGGCGUGCUUAACACAUGCAAGUCGAACGAGGUGCUUGCACCUAGUGGCGAACGGGUGAGUAACACGUGAGCAACCUGCCCUUGGCUCUGGGAUAGCCUCCGGAAACGGGGAUUAAUACCGGACAUGACCUGCCCUCGCAUGGGGGCGGGUGGAAAGUUUUUCGGCCAGGGAGGGGCUCGCGGCCUAUCAGCUUGUUGGGGGGGUAACGGCCCACCAAGGCGACGACGGGUAGCC
rnacentral:rRNA from 1 species